rnacentral:rRNA from 1 species
UACAGAGGUCUCAAGCGUUGUUCGGAUUCAUUGGGCGUAAAGGGUGCGUAGGCGGCGCGGUAAGUCGGGUGUGAAAUCUCGGGGCUUAACUCCGAAACUGCAUUCGAUACUGCCGUGCUUGAGGACUGGAGAGGAGACUGGAAUUUACGGUGUAGCGGUGAAAUGCGUAGAUAUCGUGAGGAACACCAGAGGCGAAGGCGGCUACCUGGACAGUUCCUGACGCUGAAGCACGAAGGCCAGGGGAGCAAACGGG